AUUGAACGCUGGCGGCAUGCUUUACACAUGCAAGUCGAACGGUAACAGGGUGCUUGCACCGCUGACGAGUGGCGAACGGGUGAGUAAUGCGUCGGAACGUGCCGAGUAGUGGGGGAUAACGCAGCGAAAGUUGUGCUAAUACCGCAUACGUACUGAGGUAGAAAGUGGGGGACCUUCGGGCCUCACGCUAUUCGAGCGGCCGACGUCUGAUUAGCUAGUAGGUGAGGUAAAGGCUCACCUAGGCGACGAUCAGUAGCGGGUCUGAGAGGAUGAUCCGCCACACUGGGACUGAGACACGGGCCAGACUCCUACGGGAGGCAGCAGUGGGGAAUUUUGGACAAUGGGCGAAAGCCUGUUCCAGCCAUGCCGCGUGUCUGAAGAAGGCCUUCGGGUUGUAAAGGACUUUUGUCGGGGAGGAAAUCCCCAGCGUUAAUACCGCUGGGGGAUGACAGUACCUGAAGAACAAGCACCGGCUAACUACGUGCCAGCAGCCGCCGUAACAC
rnacentral:rRNA from 1 species